ACUCCUACGGGAGGCAGCAGCUAAGAAUAUUCCGCAAUGGACGAAAGUCUGACGGAGCGACGCCGCGUGGAUGAAGAAGGCCGAAAGGUUGUAAAAUCCUUUUGUCGAUGAAGAAUAAGCAUGGGAGGGAAUGCCCGUGUGAUGACGUUAGUCGGCGAAUAAGCCCCGGCUAAUUACGUGCCAGCAGCCGCGGUAACACGUAAGGGGCGAGCGUUGUUCGGAAUUAUUGGGCGUAAAGGGCGCGUAGGCGGUCCUGUAAGCCCGGCGUGAAAACCUGGAGCUCAACUCCGGGCCUGCGCUGGGAACUGCGGGACUAGAGUCAUGGAAGGGAAGUUGGAAUUCCAGGUGUAGGGGUGAAAUCUGUAGAUAUCUGGAAGAACACCGGUGGCGAAGGCGAACUUCUGGCCAAUGACUGACGCUGAGGCGCGAAAGUGCGGGGAGCAAACAGGAUUAGAUACCCUGGUAGUC
rnacentral:rRNA from 1 species